rnacentral:rRNA from 1 species
UACAGAGGGGGCAAGCGUUGUUCGGAAUUGACUGGGCGUAAAGGGCGCGUAGGCGGCCUGCUAAGUCGAACGUGAAAUCCCUGGGCUCAACCCAGGAACUGCGUCCGAUACUGGUUGGCUUGAAUCCGGGAGAGGGAUGUGGAAUUCCAGGUGGUAGCGGUGAAAUGCGUAGAUAUACUGGGAGGAAUACCGGUGGCGAAGGCGGCAUCCUGGGACC